UACGUAGGGACCAAGCGUUGUUCGGAUUUACUGGGCGUAAAGGGCGCGUAGGCGGCUUAACAAGUCACUUGUGAAAUCUCCGGGCUUAACUCGGAACGGUCAACUGAUACUGCUCGACUAGAGUGCGGAAGGGGCAACUGGAAUUCUUGGUGUAGCGGUGAAAUGCGUAGAUAUCAAGAGGAACACCUGCGGCGAAGGCGGGUUGCUGGGCCGACACUGACGCUGAAGCGCGAAAGCUAGGGGAGCGAACGGG
rnacentral:rRNA from 1 species